CAAAAUACUAAGUCAUUCAUAGCCUUGCGAUGGGUGAAAUUCAGUUGUAUUGUUGUAAUUUUAUUUAGUUAAAAUUAUGCCCGCCGUUCACCAAAACCCAUCGACUCUGAGCUACAUAAUAACAGUGAAAAAUGCUUUGGGCCCAUCAGGAAUAUGGCCAUCAAAUAUAUUCGAGGACAAGCUCCAGCCGUUAUUCUUUCGGAUUCACAGAGAAACUUUACCUUACCACACUAUGCUCAUAGUUUUUGGGGGGCUAUAUUACCUUUCCGACAAUUUCCGUAUAAUGAGUUUCCUCGACAUGGGGCACAUAAUUCUAUCAACGUUCUUGGCCAUGGUGACAGCU